rnacentral:rRNA from 1 species
UGGGGAAUAUUGCACAAUGGGCGAAAGCCUGAUGCAGCGACGCCGCGUGAGGGAUGACGGCCUUCGGGUUGUAAACCUCUUUCAGCAGGGACGAAGCGCAAGUGACGGUACCUGCAGAAGAAGCACCGGCUAACUACGUGCCAGCAGCCGCGGUAAUACGUAGGGUGCAAGCGUUGUCCGGAAUUACUGGGCGUAAAGAGUUCGUAGGCGGUUUGUCGCGUCGUUUGUGAAAACCAGCAGCUCAACUGCUGGCUUGCAGGCGAUACGGGCAGACUUGAGUACUGCAGGCGAGACUGGAAUUCCUGGUGUAGCGGUGAAAUGCGCAGAUAUCAGGAGGAACACCGGUGGCGAAGGUGGGUCUCUGGGCAGUAACUGACGCUGAGGAACGAAAGCGUGGGUAGCGAACAGG